rnacentral:misc_RNA from 1 species
UCCAACUUAUCGCUGGCGGUCUCCUGAGAGUGCUUCCCUUACGGGAGUGGCAACAUAGGACAAGGGUUGCGCUCGUUGCGGGACUUAACCCAACACCUCACGGCACGAGCUGACGACAGCCAUGCACCACCUGUGCAGGCUCCGUAGGGCACCCGCUUUCACGGGUUUCACCCUGCAUGUCAAGCCCAGGUAAGGUUCUUCGCGUUGCCUCGAAUUAAACCACACGCUCCGCUGCUUGUGCGGGCCCCCGCCUAUUCCUUUGAGUUUUAACCUUGCGGCCGUAGUCCCCAGGCGGUGAACUUAAUGCGUUAGCUGCGGCACUGAUCGGGUCAAUCCGACCAACACCUAGUUCACAACGUUUAGGGCGUGGACUAC